GCUGGCAUUUGGGCAGAGGGUCCUGGUAGCGUGCUGUGGUGUGGGGCUCUGGCAUUUGGAAGCUGAAGCCAGUGGUCACCAGCUCUGUAGACUUCCUGUGAACUCAAAGGAUUUGUAUCUGGGAAAACUCUGCCUAGUUCGGUGGAGAGAUGGAAAAUAUUCCUAACGGAUAGGAGCUCAAACAAAGCAGAAGGCAGCUGAACCAUGGUGGGAGGUGAUGGUUGAAAGGGAAGAUCAGUGGCAUGGGAUGGGAUCACGGCAUCGUGCCCAGGGCUCCCUGCUGGGCCGUGGCAUUGGUGGCAUCGUUGGCUGGCACUGUCGUUGGGGUGUGGACACACAUGGGUCGGAGAAUCAUUAAGGUGCAGUGAGAACAUUCCAGUGGAGAGGAGCUUGUGCCAGAAUUUGCAAAGCAUGAUGAGGGCGAGCUGCACUGCAGGAGGUUCGUCAGCUGACAGAAAAAGCAUUAAAACAAAGCUAUUGUACAUGUA